AAUGGCAUCACCACACUGGGACCCUAUAGACUUAAUAACCAGAGCCUCUACAUUAAUGGUUACAAUGAACCGCUUGAGAGACUGUCUCUGAGCUCAACCACUGAACCAAGCCCCACAUUCAGGCAUUUCA